rnacentral:lncRNA from 1 species
GCGGGGACAUACGAUAUGGGGCCCUAGCUGGCGGCACCAUGUUGGACACCAAUUCGAUCCUAUGAUCUACCUCCCUCUUAGGUGGCAAACUCUUUGGCAACUAUGCAGGCAUCUUAUCCCGAAAAGAUUGUAAUAUUUGGCCCACUUCCUUAGGGAUCUCACCAACAGUCUUAAUGGUUUCCUCUAUCUUCAAAGUGGAUAAGUAGGAGAAUUCAUCUCUACGUACUCCCUUAGCAAAUUGGACUGCGGAUAAUGUUUUUCCUUCCAGGCUCCCCUUUCUUGACACUCUCAC